UGCGCCCCCCCUAGGGGGCGGGCCCCACACUUUGGGAAGGUCUGAUCUAGGCUAUCAACACCUAGCUCUGAUCAGGUACCCUGCUGGGAUAAUAAGCUGGCCGAAGGAGGAGAUGGAAGCCACUGACAUCAAGACGAGGAUGGACCCCCCCCCCCCCCCCCCCCCCCCAGGGUGGUGGAGAAUAACUGAGCUAAGAUCCUGUGAGACUUCCAGAUACAGACGGUACAAACUGGUGAUGGCUAACCAACUGGACAUGAUAAUGGUGGACAAGCAGAGGAAGACUGCUGUAGUGAUAGACGUAGCAAUACUGAAUGACAGCAACAUCAGGAAGAAGAAACAGAAGCUGAAGAAGGACCAAGGGCUCAGAGAAGAACUUGAGAGGAUGUGGAGGGUGAAGGUAACAGUGGUCCCAGUGGUAAUCAGAGCACUUGGUGCGCCCCCCACCCCAGCUAGGCGAGUGUCUCCAGCAGAUCCCAGGAACAUCAUCUGAGAUCUCUGUCCAGAAGAGCACAGUCCUAGGAACAGCCAAGAUACUGCGCCUACCCUCAUGCUCCCAGGCCUCUGGUAGAGGACCCAAGCUUGACCCGCUCACAGGGGCAAAAAAGGGAAUUUGUUAUUUUUUUCUUUUAAUUGAAUGAAAUUACUAUUUGAUAAAAUUCACUACUUCUCUAAUAUUCUUUCUAAUAGCAUAUUUCCAAAAACUGCCUGUGAAUGCAGAAAUGACAAAGUGUGAGACUUAAAACACAAAUUUAUAUGACAAAGAGAUGGACAACACAAAUAAGCCGACUUGGAGAAGUAGAGGGAUGGAAAGAAACUGAGGGAGGGCGGGCUGAGUGGGAGUGAUGCAUGCUGGGCAGGAAGCCAGGGGUAAGAUUAGUGACCGUCACUAUGGCGACACACAACUCCCUCUCACACACUUGAACCAUUGUUACCUGACUGUGCUGUAGGAUCAAAUCAAGAGAUUAUAUGAACAUAUACGAGAGUAAAAUGGGUCUUUGGUUUUUGAGUCUUCUACGUUGGUCCUGUUAUUUUAAAGCAAUAUGCAUUCGGCAUACUAAGCACUUAUAAAUGUUGGGUAAAUCAAGUUGAGCAUUCAUUUUGGCUACUUUAAGUACAGAGCUCAGGCUGCAUGCUUACAUUUGCAAACUGACAGUAAAAGUGCCGUAACUACAUCAGUGGCUGAUCUUCAGUGACGGACAAAUCACUGUCACAAUGUUUCAAAUCAGUUUUUGAACUACAGGGCAUGUUAGUGCUAAUAAUACAAGACAAACUAAAAAAAGAGAAAGGGUCACAUGUUUUAAAGCCCAGAAUCCUAAAGGGAAGCCAGCACAAGCACUCUGUCUCAGACACUUACAUUGCAUUAGAUGUGCCUCAAUAUGGUGAAAUGGUACUUUAUGUAUAACAUCAUUCUUAACAUUUAAGCAAAUGUAAACAUUUAUUUGCUAAAACAGCCAUGUAGUAUACCAGAACAGUUCCCUACUGCUUAAUAUAUUAAAUGCAGUAUGUUUAAAAAUACAGUGUUUUUCUGCAUCUGCUUACAUUUUGCAGGAAUCAAGCCAGCCUGGUUUUUAGUGAUUCUGGUCCACAGUACUCUGGAGCAACUCAAAUAUUCAAGCACAAUGAAGUAGUGUUUUGCAGUUUAUCCAUAGUGAGUGCAGCAAUACAUACUUUAAAAGGGCAACUGGAGUACGAACUGAAAGUGAAAUUUAAAAAAGAAAAAAGAAGCAAUUUAAGAGCCAGGGUUAGUCUGUCACAAAUACGAAGGCUUUGUUGGUCUUUCCUCAGUGGGCAUUACAAGCUAAAUAUAAAGUCUGACCUACCUUUUUCUUUCUCUUGGUCAGGAUGGCCAUCACACUCUGAAGGUCUUUUUGUAUACACUUUGUGUAUGUAGAGCCCUCAGGGUGAGAGUGAGAGAGUGAGAGCAAGAGGGAGAAAGAAAAGCAUUUAUUAUGUUUGAAAUGAAGGCUCAUGUCCAAAAGGCAUGAUUCUCAAAAUUAUGAUAAAUGUACCGAUUCAAAAACAAGUUGCUGAUUUCGUUUCUGCUCUUUUAUCAAAAUAUUUUUCACGUUAUACGCUGCUCACUGCAUAGACGUUAUAAGUGAGAGACUGCAUAAAUCUGAAUAAUGGACUUUAGCAGAAAAGCACAUUGUGUUCCAUGUAACACUUUCAUUUCCAUUAAAGUUUUUAUAUUUAAUAUGUGCAUGUUCAGUUAAGACAAAAGGCCCUCCAUUUGAAAGGCUAACGACUUUGUUCCAACAGAAUAAUGAGAAAGAAAAAUGUUAGCAAAAUUGUGUAUUUUUAAAUCAAAUGUAUUUCGUCAGUUAUAAUCAGGAUAAAACCUGUUUGUCAUUUCUCAACAUCGCACUCUGAGUGCAAACAAACACACUUUCCAGCAUUCACAAGUUUAAAAGACUCAACGAGGAUGUUUUCAAGAAGCUUGCCAAAACCAUCCGCAGAUUGGAAAUUUGUCACGAGUCCCGGUGUGAUCAAAUUUUCCUUUAGCACUUGAACCAGGCUAAGAGAGAGUCUGGAAAAGGGGGAGAAGUGAGAACCUUAAGAGAAGAUGGUCUUCAAUCAGCAACGAACAACCUACAACCUGACCCCAAGUGAAAGGCUUCUGGGCUCACUGUCUCUCUGGGAAUACUUGCCAAAAGCUGCAAAGUGAACAAUGUUGUAGAACUGAAGUGACAAUAAAAAAACUUCACAUUUAAGAGAUUUGUUUGUAAUCCAAUAAUUUACAUGGCUAACACCUCAUAAUUAAUUUGUCUCUUAAAGUUUGUAGUGGGCUUGAAAGACACAUUAUUAAUUUUAUAAAAACAUAACUUGAAUGUAGCAUACACACCCCAGAUCUGCAGUGCAAAUGUUGGAGCAACCAAAGGACUACCUAAUGAUGUAUGCAGGAAACAUGCUUUAAUGGUUGAGGCUGUCUAAAUGUGCAUUUACUAUUUAGUGAAAAGCCAAGAGGUCCUCAGAUGACUAAAGGGUAGA